ACGGAGGGUGCGAGCGUUAAUCGGAAUUACUGGGCGUAAAGCGCAUGCAGGUGGUUCAUUAAGUCAGAUGUGAAAGCCCGGGGCUCAACCUCGGAACUGCAUUUGAAACUGGUGAACUAGAGUACUGUAGAGGGGGGUAGAAUUUCAGGUGUAGCGGUGAAAUGCGUAGAGAUCUGAAGGAAUACCAGUGGCGAAGGCGGCCCCCUGGACAGAUACUGACACUCAGAUGCGAAAGCGUGGGGAGCAAACAGGAUUAGAUACCCUGGUAGUCCACGCCGUAAACGAUGUCUACUUGGAGGUUGUGGCCUUGAGCCGUGGCUUUCGGAGCUAACGCGUUAAGUAGACCGCCUGGGGAGUACGGUCGCAAGAUUA
rnacentral:rRNA from 1 species